ACGGAGGGUGCAAGCGUUGUCCGGAAUCACUGGGUGUAAAGGGUGUGUAGGCGGCUCUGUAAGUCAGAGGUGAAAUCCCGCAGCUUAACUGUGGAACUGCCUUUGAUACUGCAGAACUUGAGUCUCGGAGAGGUAGCUGGAAUUCGUGGUGUAGCGGUGAAAUGCGUAGAUAUCACGAGGAACACCAGAGGCGUAGGCGGGCUACUGGACGAGUACUGACGCUGAGGCACGAAAGCGUGGGGAGCAAACAGGAUUAGAUACCCUGGUAGUCCACGCUGUAAACGAUGGAUGCUCGAUGUUGCCCCCUUGUGGGGCAGUGUCUAAGCUAACGCGUUAAGCAUCCCACCUGGGGAGUACGCUCGCAAGAGUG
rnacentral:rRNA from 1 species